rnacentral:rRNA from 1 species
GCUCAACCGAGGAAGUGCUUCGAAAACUGGUAAACUUGAGUGCAGAAGAGGAAAGUGGAACUCCAUGUGUAGCGGUGGAAUGCGUAGAUAUAUGGAAGAACACCAGUGGCGAAGGCGGCUUUCUGGUCUGUAACUGACGCUGAGAUUCGAAAGCAUGGGUAGCAAACAGGAUUAGAUACCCUGGUAGCCCAUGCCGUAAACGAUGAGUGCUAAGUGUUGGAGGGUUUCCGCCCUUCAGUGCUGCAGCUAACGCAUUAAGCACUCCGCCUGGGGAGUACGAUCGCAAGAUUGAAACUCAAAGGAAUUGACGGGGGCCCGCACAAGCGGUGGAGCAUGUGGUUUAAUUCGAAGCAACGCGAAGAACCUUACCAGGUCUUGACAUACCAUGAAAAGCUUAGAGAUAAGUCUUUCCCUUCGGGGACAUGGAUACAGGUGGUGCAUGGUUGUCGUCAGCUCGUGCCGUGAGAUGUUGGGUUAAGUCCCGCAACGAGCGCAACCCUUAUUAUCAGUUGCCGGCAUUCAGUUGGGCACUCUGGUGAGACUGCCGGUGAUAAACCGGAGGAAGGUGGGGACGACGUCAAAUCAUCAUGCCCCUUAUGACCUGGGCUACACACGUGCUACAAUGGUCGGUACAACG